rnacentral:rRNA from 1 species
CAGGACGACUUCCGGAGACGGAUUUCUUCCAGCAAUGGACCUGCACACAGGUGCUGCAUGGCUGUCGUCAGCUCGUGUCGUGAGAUGUUGGGUUAAGUCCCGCAACGAGCGCAACCCUCGCCUUUAGUUGCCAUCAUUCAGUUGGGCACUCUAAAGGGACUGCCGGUGAUAAGCCGCGAGGAAGGUGGGGAUGACGUCAAGUCCUCAUGGCCCUUACGGGCUGGGCUACACACGUGCUACAAUGGCGGUGACAAUGGGAUGCGAGCCUGCGAGGGUGAGCAAAUCUCCAAAAGCCGUCUCAGUUCGGAUUGCACUCUGCAACUCGAGUGCAUGAAGUUGGAAUCGCUAGUAAUCGUGGAUCAGCAUGCCACGGUGAAUACGUUCCCGGG